UUGAGUGAAAUUUUGCAAUUUGAUUCAUCGGUUGUGUUACAUAACAAAUAUCGCCUUGAACGACUUGCGUUUAAAUGAUACACCCAAAAUAUUGUUAGAAAAUGUAAACCUAACAUCUGCUUCUUUGAUUCUCAUUGUGGAGUUUUGAACAUCUUUUUGAAGAUUUUGAGAUUCAAUUUAACUCGUUUAUCUAAUUAUUAAAUUAAUCCCUUUUCUUGGUACUUGAUCAUUUAUUUUUAUUUUUAACAGUUACUGUAACUUGCUUCCCUCUCCAGUAACAAGAAUGGAAUACAAAAGUUGAUUCCAUGUAUCAGGAACUCCAGCAAGACACCAAUGGCUGCAAUCACUCCCCUUUUUUGCCUCAUAUCCAUAAAUGGAAGGGUGGCCAUCUUUCCUUAGCUGUGAAAGUGUUGUUAUGUCGAGCAAUGUAACAGCUACUUUCAUCUCAUUCAACACUUGUUUUACCACUGUAGCUGCUGGUGGUGAACCUCCUGGAUAUGUUCUUCCACUUAUUGGUUGAGUUUCGCCAAUGCAGGUCGAUUUCGUUUCGUUCCAUUCCUCACCACUGAUAUAUCGUCAUCCACCAAACAUAAUCCAACAAUUAAUAAUCAUUUGGAGAAUAUUAUAUGCAAAUCACUACAACAAAAGAGGUUUAUAACAAUAUUUUUUUUGUGCGUCAAUAUAAAUUAGGCUACCAUGGUGGCAGUGACAAUACUUAUAAUGGGUUGGAGAAAUGCCUUGGAAGAAUACUUUGGUAACGUUGGGAUUAAUAGUGGUGUCUACCCACUUUGACCAUGUAGUAAGUCCAUCUUUAAAAGCAACCAGACGAUCCAUGUCUUUCCGAAUUGUUUUUCCUUCUUGAAUGUAGUCCCAUCUAUAACUCAACACAAAAUAUAUAUUAAUUAAGGCUUCUCAUUAUUAUUUAAUUAUUUUCAUAUGUCUAUAUCUUAAUUAUUAAUUAAUUAAGUAAUAGAUACAUAUAUAAAUGGGUUUUCUAGCAAGCAUAUUCUUACGGUUGUUCACUUCCUUUGUGAAGCCACCAAUGCCAAGUGUUGAAGAUGAGCAUGUCGUAUCCUUUCCAAUAAUUCCCAUUUUCAAUAGAAUCCAGCUUUAAAACCUUGCCUAUCUUUUCUUUCACUAAAUCAACUAAAAAUGCAUUACGAGAUAAAACCACUGAAAUCUCAUAAUCCUACAUGCAAAAUUAAUUCCUAGUUAGGAUCCAAUACAAAACCCAUGUAUGUGAGAGAGAUAUUGUCAUCAAAACGUAGAUACUCCAUCAUUAGAUAAUAAUGGGGCAACUUAAUUGAAUAAUUAGUGAAUCUAAAAGAAGAUUGCAUGCAUAUAAUUACAUGCAAAGAAAAGGUAGAGACGUCUCCUUUUCUUUGAAUAGUGAACUUUGAUUGGGGAACCGAUGCAUGCAGCAUGCAUGUGAGAGAUUGCCAUUGAUUCAGGCUUAGAGAGUCCCCUACGAACAAUAUUUUCUUCCCUUUAUUCCUCCUCAAAAAAUCCUGGCCAUCAAAUCUUGGUAAAGCACAAGCACUAGGCAUCCAUCUGUACUUGAGAUAUAACUUAUCAGGACGUCCAUUUUUCUGGCAAUCAAAUUGUUUCUCAAUAAACGGGCACACUGAUGUGUCGUAUAUAGGAUAAGAAUCAUCAUAGACCCAACUCCCUUGGAAGAAAUCACACCCACCCUGCUUUGUAUCAUACAACAAUUUGGCAUUGGAUUGGUGAAGAAAUGACAUUAGAAUAAAAGCAUUAUAAGCUAAGGAGCGAAUGCCAAAAACCCCAUGUCCCAUUCUCAUUCUCACAGAAGGAUAGGAUGAGGAGUACUGUGACAAGUGUGGUGAGAUUCAGGGAA
rnacentral:misc_RNA from 1 species